CCUACGGGAGGCAGCAGUGGGGAAUAUUGCACAAUGGGGGAAACCCUGAUGCAGCAACGCCGCGUGAGUGAUGAAGGUUUUCGGAUCGUAAAGCUCUGUCUUUGGGGAAGAUAGUGACGGUACCCAAGGAGGAAGCCACGGCUAACUACGUGCCAGCAGCCGCGGUAAU
rnacentral:rRNA from 1 species